rnacentral:rRNA from 1 species
AUGAUGAGUGUGCAUAGGGACGUUCUCUGUGGAAGCAGCGCUUUCUUCGCCGAGAAGCUCUCUGACGGCGACAAUGGCCAUGGUGGCUCUCUGGUGCCAUGCGUGGAGAUCCAUGAUUGCGACGGUGCAGAGAUCUAUGUGGAGACCGUCGGGCUGAUGUACUGCGACGAGGCGAAGCAGAAGCUGCUCAAGCAGCAUGUGUCACGAGUGCUUCGCAUCAUGAAGAAGUGGCUAAAUUUGCAAGUUGCUGAAUUACUCGGUUUCCAUGCUUGUGUCAAGUCAUGCUUGGAUUAUUUGGAAGCAGUUCCUUGGGUCAGUGAGGAAGAAGAUAGCGUUGUGUCAUCGAUACGACAUCUUCAGAGCAAGUCUUACGGAGUUAGUCCUUUGCUGAAACACGUCUGA